rnacentral:lncRNA from 1 species
UCUACUAUAUAAGAAAAGAAAGUACCUAUGAAAUUCCUAAUUUGCCCCUUUUUCAUUUUUUGACACAUAAUUAAUUCAGGGUUAUUUUGUGUCUUUAUUAAAAAACGUUAGUAGAAAAAUGCUAAAAAAUUUCUUAGUAGGAAUCGAACCCUUAACCUUUUACUUACAAUUCUUAUUAGAUUUACCACUAAGUCAUAUGAAUUAAUUUGUUAUAUUUUUG